rnacentral:rRNA from 1 species
GUGGGGAAUCUUGCGCAAUGGGCGAAAGCCUGACGCAGCCAUGCCGCGUGGAUGAUGAAGGUCUUAGGAUUGUAAAAUCCUUUCACCGGUGAAGAUAAUGACUGUAGCCGGAGAAGAAGCCCCGGCUAACUUCGUGCCAGCAGCCGCGGUAAUACGAAGGGGGCUAGCGUUGCUCGGAUUUACUGAGCGUAAAGGGCGCGUAGGCGGACAUUUAAGUCAGGGGUGAAAUCCCGGGGCUCAACCUCGGAACUGCCUUUGAUACUGGGUGUCUUGAGUAUGAGAGAGGUGUGUGGAACUCCGAGUGUAGAGGUGAAAUUCGUAGAUAUUCGGAAGAACACCAGUGGCGAAGGCGACACACUGGCUCAUUACUGACGCUGAGGCGCGAAAGCGUGGGGAGCAAACAGGAUUAGAUACCCUUGUAGUCC